UGAGGAACAUGACCUUCGGCGGGGGAUAGCCGGCCCAACGGCCGGGUAAUACCGCGUACGACCACAUGGGGACAUCCCUGAGUGGUGAAAGCAGCAAUGCGCCGAUGGAGUGCCUCGCGGCCUAUCAGCUAGUUGGUGAGGUAACGGCUCACCAAGGCGACGACGGGUAGCUGGUCUGAGAGGAUGGCCAGCCACAUUGGGACUGAGACACGGCCCAGACCUGUACGGGAG
rnacentral:rRNA from 1 species